GGUGCCUUGGGGAAGAUCUCCGCCCCUGUCACGCCCCAUCCCUGCCUGUCCCGACGCAGAGGCGUGGAAGGGAACAGCUCCGGGCUGACCGUGCCCCGCCUCCCCUGUCCCAGCACGGCGGCGGCUGAGGAAACGCCCCUUCCCCGCUCACGGCCAGCGGCUGCCCCGUCCCGAUCGCCUUUGGGGUUCGCCCCUCCCAACGCGAACUCUCGGCAGGGGCCGCCCUUUCCCUGCUCCGUGCCCGCAGUGCAAAGUGCCGUGACAUCUGACGCAGGAAAGUGGAGCGUGAAGCAGAAGGACUUGCACGACUCACACACGAGAACAUAGUGCGGUAUCACUGCAGCUGGAAAGGGCAGGACCAUAUCAAGUACCCAGACUCAAGCCAAAAUUCAGACA